AACAAGUUCCAUGUUCUGUCUGGAUCAUGUGCAGCUCGGACCAUGUUCAUGCCUUUUGAAUUAAGUUCGUUCCAUUUUCAUAGUAUUCAUGUGGUUUAGGAUUCAUCCUGAUUUUUUUGCGAACAUUUCAUAGAAACUCUACCUGGAUGUGUUCCUAUUGUACUGUGUAGAGAAUGACUUAUGUAUUACUUUAGAAUGAAACUAAUAGAUUACUUUAGAAUGAAAAGCAUAAUAAUACCAAUCAUGAUUCGAGUGCAAUUUGCUCCUUUUACUUUCCUCAGUUCUAAAACACAUGAAUUCAUUUAAAUAAAGCGUAUAACAUAUCAUUAUGGAAAAUGCGUGGUUCAGUAAUCGUAACUGAUGUACAGUAGAACUGUACCUUUGUAGUAUGUGCAUAAUAUGCAUAUUAAUUAACGUUGGAUGCGUGAAGAACGAUUUACCGGUACCAUAACGUCAACACAUGAUCUUCGAUAUUUUAGCUAUUCAUAUUGCCUUCGUAGAUAUAGGUUGUUAUAUAAAUGAGUGAGUCCUCAUACCAGUAUGUUAUAUAUUUAUAUAGAUUGUGAUGUAAUCAAAAACUAUUUAUAUAUUUACACAUAUAUAAAUGCCUAUUGUUGUUCUUUUUUAUCAAAUCUGAUUAUAUAUUUAUAUAUGUUUUAUACAAAUUAAAAAAUAUUUUUAUACAU
rnacentral:misc_RNA from 1 species